rnacentral:lncRNA from 8 species
AUGGCUGCAAUCCAAACACGUUGUUUUUCCCUCGGGGGUAUCCACGUCGAAACCGGAUGCAGUUUGAUUGCCAUCUUAAGGUUUGGAGGCCACUCUAAAGAUGAACCCUCUAUCCUGACACCUCUGGAGCAGUGCUGCAGGAUCUGUCGCUCCACCCUACUGCAUCUGUCUGCUUCUCCUCUCCCUGCCCCAGUACAGUCUGUGAUGU